AGGUUCCCGGCACAUCAGUUCCAGGAGAUCCAGAAACCAUGCUUGACUUUGCCAGAACCUAAAGGAGAAUUGAACCUGAGGCAGAACGAUCAUAGCAAACGGGGGAACGCAUAUGCCAAUCUGAAGUGGACAACCCUGCAGAAAGUCAUCCAGGGACCUUAAUUCCGAAUCUGGAUGCCAGCUGAAGAAAGUCAGAAAUUGAGGCAAAUAAAUCUACUGAGAACAGACCCUGAAC